UACGGGAGGAUGCAAGCGUUAUCCGGAAUUACUGGGCGUAAAGGGCUCGUAGGCGGCCAACUAAGUCAGACGUGAAAUCCCUCAGCUUAACUGGGGAACUGCGUCUGAUACUGGAUGGCUUGGAUUCGGGAGAGGAAUGCGGAAUUCCAGGUGUAGCGGUGAAAUGCGUAGAUAUCUGGAGGAACACCGGUGGCGAAGGCGGCAUUCUGGACCGAUAUUGACGCUGAUGAGCGAAAGCCAGGGGAGCAAACGGG
rnacentral:rRNA from 1 species